CGCUGCUCUCCCCCGCUGGCCCGAGCCCGCUCGCAGGGCUCACGCGGGCCUCUCCCGGAGCCCGGAGCGCUUGCGCGCCAGAGGGGGCGGGGGCCGAGCGGCGCGCUCGGAGCCUAGGUCUGGACGGAGCUGCGGGCUGCGGGGAAGCGGGCGGGAGCGGAGGCCUGUCUGGAAGUCUCCCUGGAGCCCUGGCCGGACGGCGCCGGCCGACAGCGUCCCCCAGCCCGCGGUAUCGCGAUCCGCCCCUGCACCCCGGGAGCGCGGUCACGGCCGCCCGGGCCCCGGAAACUGCUCACGACGCCCCCGGGCGCUUACGGUCGUCUGCUCCUGGCUCCCGAGCUUGGCGGCAGCAGAGUCUGAGAAGCAUUAGUGUGGGUGAAAGUACGACCCAUUCAGAGGUCUUCAUCGCACUCGUAGAGGACGGACGUGAGGGCACGGAUGGGGCGAAGGAUGCAGUUUCAACACCCGGCAUCCUCAGGAUCACAGCCAGCAGACCAGAACCAGGGCCUGUUACAGGGAUACUAAACUUCUGACUGUCACCCUGCAUACAACUUCAGGAUAAAGUUCACCCCCUUGGCCUCCAAUCUUACUGCUCACCCUGGCCCAAGAACUCUCCAUUUCAAUGAAGAGAGGCUGUUCCUGGCUAACAAACACACUCAAUUCAAUCACAUCUCCAAACUGCUCCUGCAGCAUGCCUGGAAAGGAUGCUCUCCUACAUCCAAACAUGAAAUUCUACUGUUCUUUAAUUCCACACCCUCCUACAAAAGCCUUCUCUCAUCCCUGCAGUCUCUGGCAUCUCUGUGCUCCUUGAAAACGUGCAGCCUGUGAAAUCCCUCCAUCUCUCCCCCACAUCUUUCAGACAGAAGCUGCUCUGCCUCUGGCCAUUUUACCCAGGGACUCAAAUUUGUUACUCUUCAAACGGCAGUGAUGAUGAAAACAUUCUAAAAUUAGAUAUUGGUGAUGGUGUAUCACCAUAACUCUGUUAAUAUACUAAAAACUACUGAA